rnacentral:rRNA from 1 species
UUGCUUCUCUUGAGAGCGGCGGACGGGUGAGUAAAGCCUAGGAAUCUGCCUGGUAGUGGGGGAUAACGUUCGGAAACGGACGCUAAUACCGCAUACGUCCUACGGGAGAAAGCAGGGGACCUUCGGGCCUUGCGCUAUCAGAUGAGCCUAGGUCGGAUUAGCUAGUUGGUGAGGUAAUGGCUCACCAAGGCGACGAUCCGUAACUGGUCUGAGAGGAUGAUCAGUCACACUGGAACUGAGACACGGUCCAGACUCCUACGGGAGGCAGCAGUGGGGAAUAUUGGACAAUGGGCGAAAGCCUGAUCCAGCCAUGCCGCGUGUGUGAAGAAGGUCUUCGGAUUGU